UUCCUCUCAGGAUUGCGCCUGGAGAGUUUCCAGUACUCUACCAGUCUCGACUAUGAGGGGAGAGGGAAGCAGAGGCCUGUCCAUUCCAUUCGUAGCUUGGUCAGUGACUAGCGAGUGGAAGGCAAUCUGCUACAAGU